UCUUCUUGCUCAUCUAAUCUCUUCUUGCUCAUCUCCAUGGCUCCAACCAGACCCACCCAUUAUAAUUGUUCAUCUCCACAGUUCCCAGUUGAUGAUGGUGGUUGUUUGAAACACGUACGAGUCACAACCGAGUUUCGUUACCGGGUUCUGAUCUUAACCUCUUGUACGACCAUCAAAAAGUGACGAUUCUAACUCGUCAACGGUGGUUGACUUGAGCCCGUCGCCCUCGCCCUCGCCGUUGUCACCGCCGGGAAGAGUGGUUAGUGAUCUUAACUUUCCGCCGGCGGGAAAGAAUACUCCUAAAUUACAAAGAGUAGUUAGUGAUUAUGAAGCUUGUUAGUUAUGCAUCAAAAUUUUAUAGGGGAUAGGGAUUCAAGUUGGAAAAUUAUCUCUUUAGCCCUUGGAGGAAUUCGUCUUUCGGUUGUAAGCAUUAUGAUUCGGUGAUUACAUAGUUGCAGAAAUACAAGAAGAUGUAAACAAUGUGCAGUUGAAUGAUGAAUUCUACAUUGGUCGGAGACAGAAAAAGAGCAACCGGGCAGUUUUUAUUGUACAAGUUUGAGGAUUUUGCUAACCACGCGAUGCAUUUGGAUGUGCGAUGGUAUGAUCAUAAAAUGAUGUAAGCUUAUAGCUAGUCCUUUUUUACAGAAUUUGGAUGUAAGCGAAUAUACCCGGUACGGUACAAUUCGUUACCGGUACGAUACUGGUAUUUGAGGGUAAAAACCGGUAAAUAUGAUACCGAACCGGUACCGUACCGUACCGGACCGGUACCGAAAAUCUCAAAAGUCGGUACCGAAUCGGUACCAAAAAAUGUACCCGGUUCGGUAAAUUCAGUACCAGUACCGGGUACCAUUUGCUCAUCCCUAAUUUAAGAUGGGGUAGUGAUGGUGAUUACGGUGGGGUUGUAGUGGUGAUGGUGGGUUAUUAGUUAAAAACAAUUUAUUGUUGAUUGUUUAUAAAAGGAUGGUGAUUACGGUGGGGUUGUAGUGGUGAUGGUGGGUUAUUAGUUAAAAACAAUUUAUUGUUGAUUGUUUAUAAAAGGAUAAGGGAAUUGACUUAAAUGCCCUCACGUGCAGCGCAUGUGAGGGCAUUUAAUUGAGUUUUUUGACGAGGUUAGUUGUAAAGGUUAUAGGAUGUCACAAAACAUUAACAUAAAGGUUGAGUUUGGCCGACUUCAUAGUUAAAGGUAUGAAGUGCAGUCUGGGUAUAACAUAAAGGUUGAUUUUUACAAUUUAGUAUAAUUUAUGUGAAUGAAGGUUGAAGAAGAUGGACCAGUUGUCAAAAUCAGGCAUGGGGAGACUUUUGAAGAUCAUAUGAGAUACUUGGGACUUUCUAUCUAUACUUACAUGUACUCUUAUUUCUUUUUGUUGGAUUAUAAGAUCUCUGGAAGGCGAGAUCGGUUUUGUUGUUAUCGAAUGAACAAUUUGAAUUUUUAUAACGUAGCUUUUGCUUGCCUAUUA